rnacentral:tRNA from 1 species
GAGCUUUAAUGGCUAAACAGGAACUGCUAAUUACCUGCUUCUAUGGUUCAACUCCAUAGCAAGCUCA